rnacentral:rRNA from 1 species
UACGUAGGGGGCAAGCGUUGUCCGGAUUUACUGGGCGUAAAGCGCGCGUAGGCGGAAGUGUAAGUCUGGCCUGAAAGCCCCCGGCUCAACCGGGGAGGGCGGCUGGAAACUGUGCUUCUUGAGGGCGAUAGAGGAGUGUGGAAUUCCUGGUGUAGCGGUGAAAUGCGUAGAGAUCAGGAAGAACACCCGUGGCGCAAGCGGCCACCUGGCCAAGAGCUGACGCUGAGGCACGAGAGCGUGGGGAGCGAACCGG